AUGGCCUGAGCCCCUCUCCUCUUUACGCUGCUCACGCAUGGCUCGGGUUCCCUGGUCCAGGCAGCGCUGACUCAGCCAUCCUCCGUGUCAGCGAACGUGGGACAAACCCUCCAGAUCACCUGCUCCGGGGGUAGCAGCUACUAUGGCUGGUACCAGCAGAAGGUUCCUGGCAGUGCCCCCGUCACUGUGAUCUACGAUAACAGCAAGAGACCCUCGGGCAUCCCUUCACGAUUCUCCGGAUCCAAGUCUGGCUCCACAGGCACGUUAACCAUCACUGGGGUCCAAGCUGAGGACGAGGCUGUCUAUUACUGUGGUAGCAGGGACAGCGGCAGUUACACUAUCACCUGCUCCGGGGCUAGCAACUAUGGCUAUUACGGCCGGUACCAGCAAAAGGCAACUGGAAGUGGCCCUGUCACUGUGAUCUAG